GCUUGCUCUGGCAGCAGAUACUGAAACUGGAACAAUACACAAGAUCAGCAUUGCCCCUGUGCAAGGAUGACACACAAAUUCAUGAAGCAUUCCAUAUGUAA
ensembl:snRNA U6 U6 spliceosomal RNA